rnacentral:tRNA from 1 species
AAAAAGAUAAGCUAAAUAAAGCUAUUGGGCUCAUACCCCAAUUAUAGAAACAAAUUUUCUUCUUUUUA